CCUACGGGUGGCAGCAGUGAGGAAUAUUGGUCAAUGGACGAGAGUCUGAACCAGUCAAGUAGCGUGAAGGAUGACUGCCCUAUGGGUUGUAAACUUCUUUUAUAUGGGAAUAAAAUGUUCCACGUGUGGGAUUUUGUAUGUACCAUAUGAAUAAGGAUCGGCUAACUCCGUGCCAGCAGCCGCGGUAAUACGGAGGAUCCGAGCGUUAUCCGGAUUUAUUGGGUUUAAAGGGAGCGUAGGUGGAUUGUUAAGUCAGUUGUGAAAGUUUGCGGCUCAACCGUAAAAUUGCAGUUGAAACUGGCAGUCUUGAGUACAGUAGAGGUGGGCGGAAUGCGUGGUGUAGCGGUGAAAUGCUUAGAUAUCACGAAGAACUCCGAUUGCGAAGGCAGUUCACUGGACUGCAACUGACACUGAGGCUCGAAAGUGUGGGUAUCAAACAGGAUUAGAUACCCUAGUAGUC
rnacentral:rRNA from 1 species